AAGAAUGGAACUGGAACUGGCAGCCAAUAUGCCAUUAUUUGACCUUAGUUGGUCCAUGCGUUGGCCCAUAUUGGCUUUUUACUUGCAUAAAAUGGUACUUAUAGUAUGUCCAGCAAUUAGUGCUGUUUUGGGACCACUUCCUAUCAAACUUUAUUAUGGUUAUAGGACCCGGAGUAAACUCUGGAGGUAGUAACGAUUGUAUGAUGAAAAAUAGGACAUGAGCAGAUUGGACCGUAAGAUAGGUACAUGUUGGAAUACAUGUAUUCCUGUUUUUGUCAAACGAAUUUUCCUUUAGGAGUUCAACCUGCAGAGACAGUGUAUUCCCUUCCUGUCUUAAGAAACCUUGUUGUCUAAACUAGGAACGAUUCUAUGGUGAAAAAUAGGACAUAACAGAUUGGAUCAAAAGGUAGGAUGGUUUGAAUUUGAUGAAUGAACUGUUUUUGCAUUCAAAUAAUUGGACUAAUUUCUGGCUGUUUCUAGUACCUGCUUUAUUCAUUUAUUUAUUCAUCAACUAGGUGAGAUGGCUGAAAAUAUUUAAAAAGAAGUAUGUACGUAAUGCUUUGUUUGAAACAUUCUGGUAACUGUUUAAACGGUUCUGUAAAGUUGAAAAUAAGGUUUAUUACUUUCAAUAU